rnacentral:rRNA from 1 species
CGCAUCUGUGCAUGCAGCAUAUCAAUAAGCGGAGGAAAAGAAACUAACAAGGAUUCCCUUAGUAACGGCGAGUGAAGCGGGAAGAGCUCAAAUUUGAAAUCUUCAAGGUUUUACCUUGACGAAUUGUAGUUUAAAGAAGUGUUUUCUGUUGAAGUUUUGGUGAAAGUUCUUUGGAAUAGGACAUCAUAGAGGGUGAGAAUCCCGUAUUUGACCAUUAUUUUCAGCUGUGUGAUACACUUUCAAAGAGUCGGAUUGUUUGGGAAUGCAGUCCAAAAUGGGUGGUAAAUUUCAUCUAAAGCUAAAUAUUGGCGAGAGACCGAUAGCGAACAAGUACCGUGAGGGAAAGAUGAAAAGAACUUUGAAAAGAGAGUUAAACAGUACGUGAAAUUGUCAAAAGGGAAGCGUUUGACACCAGUGUUGUUUUCUCGAAAAUCAAUUAAAAAGAGUUAGAUUUUGUUGUGUAUUGACCUUAACAGCUUGCAUUUCAAUUUUCUUGCUUUUUUUAAUGCACUUUUCGUUUAACAAGUCAACAUCAGUUUCUUUUGUUGUAAAAAGGUCAUUGGAAGGUGGCUUUCUUUUCGGAGAAAGUGUUUAUAGCCUUUGACUCCUGCAAUCGGAGAGGACUGAGGUCUGCAGCGUAGAUCCUUCGGGGUUAGAUACAUUUGUGCUAAGUUAUAGCUUUUUAUAGACAACUUGUUGACUAUGAUUAGUCUUGUAGCUUACUCGCUUAUGCUAUUUUACCUACGCUUAGGAUGUUGAUGUGAUACUGCGAGCA